UGAUUCAGCGGCGGACGGGUGAGUAAUGCCUAGGAAUCUGCCCGGUAGUGGGGGACAACGUUUCGAAAGGAACGCUAAUACCGCAUACGUCCUACGGGAGAAAGUGGGGGAUCUUCGGACCUCACGCUAUCGGAUGAGCCUAGGUCGGAUUAGCUAGUUGGUGAGGUAAUGGCUCACCAAGGCGACGAUCCGUAACUGGUCUGAGAGGAUGAUCAGUCACACUGGAACUGAGACACGGUCCAGACUCCUACGGGAGGCAGCAGUGGGGAAUAUUGGACAAUGGGCGAAAGCCUGAUCCAGCCAUGCCGCGUGUGUGAAGAAGGUCUUCGGAUUGUAAAGCACUUUAAGUUGGGAGGAAGGGCAGUAAGUUAAUACCUUGCUGUUUUGACGUUACCAACAGAAUAAGCACCGGCUAACUUCGUGCCAGCAGCCGCGGUAAUACGAAGGGUGCAAGCGUUAAUCGGAAUUACUGGGCGUAAAGCGCGCGUAGGUGGUUCAGCAAGUUGGAUGUGAAAGCCCCGGGCUCAACCUGGGAACUGCAUCCAAAACUACUGAGCUAGAGUACGGUAGAGGGUGGUGGAAUUUCCUGUGUAGCGGUGA
rnacentral:rRNA from 1 species